ACGCUGAAAAUAAAACAAUAUGGACGGUCAAUACGACCAUAACGACAACCAACAUCACAUGUAAAUGCGAUAUAGUGAAUGAAACAACCCACGAUAAAACAUUUUUUCAAAGACGCUAUUACUGGAAUAAAACAACGGUCAGCAACAACCUCGAAGGAAAGUUCAUGCAGAUGGGACUCAUUAAUACGAAGUCAACCUUUGAUGGAAUGCUGGUCGGCCCCAAAGGUGGGCUAUACACAACGAAAACGCAGCUACUCUACGUAGACGAUGCCUACCAGUGUGGCCUCUUCUCUGUAUCUCUAACGAAUGGGGGUAAGUUGCCAAAAAAUAAAGUU